rnacentral:rRNA from 1 species
UGCAGUCGAACGGUAACAGGAAGCAGCUUGCUGCUUCGCUGACGAGUGGCGGACGGGUGAGUAAUGUCUGGGAAACUGCCUGAUGGAGGGGGAUAACUACUGGAAACGGUAGCUAAUACCGCAUAACGUCGCAAGACCAAAGAGGGGGACCUUCGGGCCUCUUGCCAUCGGAUGUGCCCAGAUGGGAUUAGCUAGUAGGUGGGGUAACGGCUCACCUAGGCGACGAUCCCUAGCUGGUCUGAGAGGAUGACCAGCCACACUGGAACUGAGACACGGUCCAGACUCCUACGGGAGGCAGCAGUGGGGAAUAUUGCACAAUGGGCGCAAGCCUGAUGCAGCCAUGCCGCGUGUAUGAAGAAGGCCUUCGGGUUGUAAAGUACUUUCAGCGGGGAGGAAGGCGAUGAGGUUAAUAACCUUGUCGAUUGACGUUACCCGCAGAAGAAGCACCGGCUAACUCCGUGCCAGCAGCCGCGGUAAUACGGAGGGUGCAAGCGUUAAUCGGAAUUACUGGGCGUAAAGCGCACGCAGGCGGUCUGUCAAGUCGGAUGUGAAAUCCCCGGGCUCAACCUGGGAACUGCAUUCGAAACUGGCAGGCUAGAGUCGUGUAGAGGGGGGUAGAAUUCCAGGUGUAGCGGUGAAAUGCGUAGAGAUCUGGAGGAAUACCGGUGGCGAAGGCGGCCCCCUGCACAAAGACUGACGCUCAGGUG